UCGAAUUUUAAAUCGUUGAAAACUAAAAAAAGAAAAAAAGACAACAAACACAAUACAAAAUGGAGAGAAAAAUGGAGAGACCAGAAAUUGGUGGCCUUAAACACACGCAAGUCGAAAUGAACUGGCAUUAUAGUAUUGCGGAUUCGCGGGGGUCCCGAAAUAAUUCCGUUAAUGUCGACCGGGGCAGAUCCAACUACAGCUCCAGUCUUAUUUCUGCAACCAAGGCGCCGCAACAAGGUGGAUUAAACUGGAAAAUCUGAAACAAAUUGUUCGAAAAAUGCUGGAAGUCCAGAAGGAGCAGCAGGAUGACCACCAGCAAUCAAAGCGAGAGAUACUUCAAUUGCGAGCAUCCAAGGCCAAACCAACUUCCAACAGAGCUUCUGAAAUUUUUAAGGGAGUCCUAAGAGUAACGUUUAUUGUAUAUAUAUGGCCGAAUCUAAACGUUGCCGAAUCGGGUUGAAACAUUUAUUUUAUUGUUUUAUAACAAAAGGAACAUUUUUUAGACCCUGAGACCUUUGAAAACUAAACUUUUAUAAAUAAGCGCAACCUUAAUACGCGAUAAGUUGGUUUACAUAUGCUAAUAAAUUGUGAAUAUAAUUCAA